rnacentral:tRNA from 1 species
AGGAUUAUAGUUUAAAAAAAACUUUUGAUUUGCAUUCAAAAAAUAUUAAAAUUUUAAUUUAUCUU